rnacentral:rRNA from 1 species
UACAGAGGUCCCGAGCGUUGUUCGGAUUCAUUGGGCGUAAAGGGUGCGUAGGCGGUUUGGUAAGUCUUAUGUGAAAUCUACAGGCUCAACUUGUAGUCUGCAUGAGAAACUGCCGGGCUUGAGUAUGGGAGAGGUGAGUGGAAUUCCUGGUGUAGCGGUGAAAUGCGUAGAUAUCAGGAGGAACACCUGUGGCGAAAGCGGCUCACUGGACCAUAACUGACGCUGAUGCACGAAAGCUAGGGGAGCAAACAGG